GACGAACGCUGGCGGCGUGCUUAACACAUGCAAGUCGAACGGAAAGGCCCUGCUUUCAGUGUACUCGAGUUGCGAACGGGUGAGUAACACGUGGGUGGUCUGCCCUGCACUUCGGGAUAAGCUUGGGAAACUGGGUCUAAUACCGGAUAGGAACCAUCUUUAGUGUGAUGGUUGGAAAGUUUUUUCGGUGUAUGAUGAGCUCGCUGCCUAUCAGCCUGUUGGUGGGGUCAUGGCCUACCGAGGCGGCGACGGGUAGCCGGCCUGAGAGGGUGUACGGCCACAUCGGGACUGAGAUACGGCCAAGACUAGUACGGCAGGCAGAAGUGGGGAAUAUUGGACAAUGCGAGGAAGCCUGAGGCAGCGAGGCCGCGUGGGCGAUGAAGGCUUUUGUGUUGUAAAAUCAUUUCGGUAGGGAACAAGGUUCGUCGUGACGGUACCUAGACAAGAAGCCACGGCUAACUACGUG
rnacentral:rRNA from 1 species